rnacentral:tRNA from 1 species
GAGAGAGGUUCGCAAGCAGGGAGGGUUGCUACCCAUCCUUCCCCCAGGUUGAACUCCUGGGCUCACUUA